ACACGACACGUGGAUGCGGCUUCCUCAGUUCACCAUGCUCAUAAAGAAAACAGCAGUGUAUUUCAGCUGACUGGCAGAGACAGUGCGGUGCGUGAAGGGAAGGUUUGAUUUGGAGAGACAGUUGUUGCUGUCAUAGGCAAGCCUGGGAAAGAACUGAGAAAACGUAUUAAGAGUCAAGACAGACACCAGAAAGAGGCCCAAGAAGACUUGGACGCAGGAACAGAGGACAGCGAGGGAUGUUCAGAACUCACUCAGUCCGGUUUGGAGAAUGACUUCUCAACCCAAGACUAAGAGCAGCUGUGAGAAAGCAUCAGUUUGGAAGCAUUUGGGAAAAUGUAAAGUGCUAAAGAAGGUUCCCGGCAAAGAGGAUUGACUGUUAUGGGUCAGAGCCAGCUCUC